GCGCAGCAGUCGAGAAUCUCCGCAAUACACGAAAGUGUGACGGGGCCAUCCCGAGUGCCGUCCGCUGAGGACGGCUUUUCCCCAGUGUACACAGCUGGGGGAAUAAGGAGAGGGCAAGCCUGGUGUCAGCCGCCGCGGUAAUACCAGCUCUCCGAGUGGUGGGGACGCUUAUUGGGCCUAAAGCAUCCGUAGCCGGCUGGGCAAGUCCUCCGUUAAAUCCAACGAUUCAAUCGUUGGGCUGCGGGGGAUACUGUCCAGCUUGGGGGCGGGAGAGGCCGACGGUAUUCCCGGGGUAGGGGUGAAAUCCUAUAAUCCCGGGAGGACCACCAGUGGCGAAGGCUGUCGGCUAGAACGCGCCCGACGGUGAGGGAUGAAAGCUGGGGGAGCGAACCGGAUUAGAUA
rnacentral:rRNA from 1 species